rnacentral:rRNA from 1 species
GGCGAAAGCCUGAUGGAGCAACGCCGCGUGAAGGAAGAAGGCCUAACGGUUGUAAACUUCUUUUCUGAAGGAGCAUAAUGAGAGUACUUUAGGAAUAAGGGACGGCUAAAUACGUGCCAGCAGCCGCGGUAAUACGUAUGUCUCGAGCGUUACCCGGAAUUACUGGGUGUAAAGGGUUUGUAGGUUGGUGAAUAAGUCAGGUAUGAAAGACCGGAGCUUAACUCCGAGUUUGUGCUUGAAACUGUUGACCUAGAAUCAGGGAGAGGUAAGCGGAAUUCUAAGUGUAGGGGUGCAAUCCGUAGAUACUUAGAGGAACACCAAAAGCGAAGGCAGCUUACUGGAACUGCAUUGACACUGAAAAACGAAAGCGUGGGUAGCGAAAAGGAUUAGAUACCCUUGUAGUCCACGCCCUAAAUGAUGAUAACUAAGUGUUGCGACGAGCUCGCAGUGCUGUAGCAAACGCGUUAAGUUAUCCACCUGAGGAGUACGGUCGCAAGAUUAAAACUCAAAGGAAUAGACGGGGACCCACACAAGCAGUGGAUCACGUGGUUUAAUUCGACAAUAAACGGGGAACCUUACCCAGACUUGACAUCCUAGGAAUACUUUAGAGAUAGAGUAGUGCUCGCAAGAGAACCUAGAGACAGGUGCUGCAUGGUUGUCGUCAGCUCGUGCCUUGAGGUGUUCGGUUAAGUCCGUUAACGAGCGCAACCCAUGUCCUUAGUUACAAUGUCUAAGGAGACUGCCUUGGUUAACAAGGAGGAAGGUGUGGAUGACGUCAAAUCAGCAUGGCUUUUACGUCUGGGGCUACACACAUGAUACAAUGGCCUGUACAAAGAGUAGUGAAACCGCGAGGUAGAACCAAUCUUGAAAGCAGGUCUCAGUCCGGAUUGGAGUCUGCAACUCGACUCCAUGAAGUUGGAAUUGCUAGUAAUCGUAAAUCAGAUAUGUUACGGUGAAUGUGUUCCUGGGUCUUGUACUCACCGCCCGUCAAGGCAUGGGAGGUAGUAAUAUCGGAAGUCCCCCUAGAUAUAAGGGGGCCCAUGGUAGGACUACUGACUGGGCUUAAGUCGUAACAAGGUAUCCGUAGGUGAACCUGCGGAUG